rnacentral:lncRNA from 10 species
AGUCAUCUAGAAAUGGUGUUUGGGGCUGUGAGCAGAUGACACCAUUUCCAGUGGAGACAGUCACGGGACAGACUGCAGGACAGAACUGGGACCUGGGAUCUGCAGAAGCCACAUGAUGGAGUGAUAAGACCACCUGGCCUGGGCCAGGACGCAGACCAUUCUUUUAGCCACACCAAACUUAGACCAAUCACCUGACUGCACCCACCUGAGCAUCCCCCAGCUGGAAACACCAAAGAACAAAGCAAGACUGGAUGUUAGACCUCACAGUUCCUUAAGUCAGGCUAGGCCCUUCCUAGGGCUCCUCUACUGGCCAGAUGGAUGAAAAUUCUGUGGGCCAUUUAAGAAAGAAGUCUUGAAGCUUGAGCCAUGCACCUCUCUGGCUCCAAGCCAGUCAUUUUUGAACUGCAGUCUUCUUUCCAGUCCCUCAAAGUGCAGAAUAUGAGCUGGAAGUGGGAGGGGUCAACAAAUGACCCUUGACUAAGGGAGCUGGAUCACCACCACACAAGCAGCAGCAGGGAUGGAGAGCUGAACCUUGGCCUGGGAAGGGGAUCCAGGAACAUGGCAGGCCCUGGAUGCUGGACCUCCAGGGCAGAGCAGGACCAGACGCCAGGCUGACUACUAUGGCGAGAGGAAUUCCUCCUAUUCCCUGUAUGAGAAAUGGGAAUUUUACCAUCAUCCUUAGAAUGCAGAAGCGACAUUAGCAUUAACAUUUACACUUUUAAUUGUUGUUGCUGCAUUUGGGACUCCCAGCUCUAGGCAAUAUGAUUGCCAAGCCAUUGCCAUUUGUUACUCCACUAAGGGACAUUUGGGAACAUCCUGCCUCCCUGGGUUCCAGUGUCACUGCAGCCAGAGGCUGUGUGGGAGAUGGGGAGGGACCAGGUGUGCUCCUGCCAUAGGGCUCCCCCAUCACUGGGUAAACUGAGGCUUGGCCUGAUGUCUUUCUAAUUUAAAAUCGCAGGACCAGGACCUGCACCACUGGACAAAAUGAAAGCACCUGUCCCUGCUCAGGAGACAGUGAGAGAGCUUGGCAGUUGGGAUGGGGGUUGGGGGUGGAAAUAAACAAAAAGAUGUACACAAGAAAUGGCUGAAAAACAAAUA